rnacentral:rRNA from 1 species
CAGUCGCCGCGGGAAUACGAAGGGUGCAAGCGUUACUCGGAAUUACUGGGCGUAAAGCGUGCGUAGGCGGCUUCUUAAGUCGGAUGUGAAAUCCCUGAGCUUAACUUAGGAAUUGCAUUCGAUACUGGGAAGCUAGAGUAUGGGAGAGGAUGGUAGAAUUCCAGGUGUAGCGGUGAAAUGCGUAGAGAUCUGGAGGAAUACCGAUGGCGAAGGCAGCCAUCUGGCCUAAUACUGACGCUGAGGUACGAAAGCAUGGUGAGCAAACAGGAUUAGAUACCCGCGUAGUCCCUGUCUCUUAUAC